rnacentral:lncRNA from 1 species
AUCUUCCUCAAUAUUAACUUAUUUACAAAACUGUCACCAUUGUAGUUUUGCCAAUUAAAGUCUAUCCAUGCAUAGUGUAUAAAAAACUGAACCAAAACAAUAUAAUGCAUGUGGCCUUUAUGAUGCAUUAUUGCCAUGUUCCUUUAUCAAAUUAGUUCCAAAUUGUUAGACAGAGUGAAAUAUAGUAAGUGCUCAAUAUAGGAAAUUCCAACAAGAAUACAAAUUCUUGGCAAUGCUGUGUUGUUAUUUUGCAUGCCAUCUAACAAUGGAUAAUUUGAUAAAACAAGAUUUUGCUUAUCUUAACCCAUUAAGCGCCAGCGCUCUCCCCUUGAUGAGUAAAAUUGUCUGGCGUUAGACAGAGUAAAAUACUAAAGUAGGGUGCAUCAGGGAGCAUCGCCACUCAAUGGGUUAACUAGACAUAUGGGCAGAUAGGCGGGUUAACCCAUUAAGCGCCAGCGCUCUCCCCUUGACGAGUAAAAUCGUCUGGCGUUAGGCAGAGUAAAAUGCUAAAGUAGGGUGCAUGAGGGAGCAUCGCCACUGAAUAGGUUAACUAGACAUAUGGGCAGAUAAGCGGGUUAACCCAUUAAGCGCCAGCGCUCUCCCCUUGACGAGUAAAAUCGUCUGGCGUUAGACAGAGUAAAAUGCUAAAGUAGGGUGCAUCAGGGAGCAUCGCCACUGAAUAGGUUAACUAGACAUAUGGGCAGAUAAGCGGGUUAACCCAUUAAGCGCCAGUGCUCUCCCCUUGACGAGUAAAAUCGUCUGGCGUUAGACAGAGUAAAAUGCUAAAGUAGGGUGCAUCAGGGAGCAUCGCCACUGAAUAGGUUAACUAGACAUAUGGGCAGAUAGGCGGGUUAACCCAUUAAGAGCCAGCGCUCUCCCCUUGACGAGUAAAAUUGUCUGGCGUUAGGCAGAGUAAAAUACUAAAGUAGGGUGCAUCAGGGUGCAUCGCCACUCAAUGGGUUAGGAUAACCAGGAGCCAGUUGUUUCAAAGGCGUUUAGCUUAAACGGUAGUCUCCUACGCAUACCUACUUAGCGGGCAGUGCCCUCACGUAAGGUAUGCUUACUUUGGCCAAGAAUUCCUUUCCUCAAAAUUAGCCAAUCACAGCUUUACCCACGAAAAUUGUGGGGCUUGACCUUUGACUGAC